rnacentral:rRNA from 1 species
UGGGGAAUAUUGCACAAUGGGGGAAACCCUGAUGCAGCAACGCCGCGUGGAGGAUGACACAUUUCGGUGCGUAAACUCCUUUUAUAUGUCAAGAUAAUGACGGUAGCAUAUGAAUAAGCACCGGCUAACUUCGUGCCAGCAGCCGCGGUAAUACGAGGGGUGCAAGCGUUACUCGGAAUCACUGGGCGUAAAGAGAAUGUAGGCGGGUAAUUAAGUUGGAAGUGAAAUCCUAUGGCUCAACCAUAGAACUGCUUCCAAAACUGAUUACCUAGAGUAUGGGAGAGGUAGAUGGAAUUUCUGGUGUAGGGGUAAAAUCCGUAGAGAUCAGAAGGAAUACCGAUUGCGAAGGCGAUCUACUGGAACAUUACUGACGCUCAGAUUCGAAAGCGUGGGGAGCAAACA